GUCUUGGUAGCUCAGUUGGAUAGAGCAACGGCCUUCUAAGCCGUGGGUCAGGGGUUCGAAUCCCUUCCAAGACGCCA
rnacentral:tRNA from 1 species